AGGUCAGCGGCAGAGCGCCUCCCUUAUACGGAGGAGGUCGUUGGUUCAAAUCCAAC
rnacentral:tRNA from 1 species